UUCCAUCCAUGUGCACAUCUGUGGGUGCACUUUGCUCGCCUUGCCAGCAGCAUAAAUGAAGUUCGGCACAGUCAGGGGUGUUAUAAAGGCUCGCAGCACAGCUCCUACAUCUUAACUGAUUCAACUGCAGCUGAGCAAUGGCACGUCUUAUCUUCAUCUCGCUUUUACUUCUAACUACCAUGGUGUCCACAGCUUCAGCUGUGGAAUCUCAAGUUGCUGUCUCAAAAUCUCCAAUACUCGUGUUCCUCGAGAAUGGCUGAAGAGUUACUAUGACCAACAUUCACCAUCGUGUGCUCUUCAUGCUGUGGUAUUCACCACAAUUAAAAACAAAAGGAU